UACGUAGGGGGCAAGCGUUUGUCCGGAAUCAUUGGGCGUAAGCGCGUGUAGGCGGCCCGGUAAGUCCGCUGUGAAAGCCCGGGGCUCAACUCCGGGUCGGCCGUGCGAACUGGGGGACUGGAGCUUGUCAGAGGCAGGCGGAAUUCCGGGUGUAGCGGUGGAAUGCGUAGAGAUCCGGAAGAACACCGGUGGCGAAGGCGGCCUGCUGGGACAGUGCUGGACGGCUGAGGCGCGACAGCGUGGGGAGCAAACAGG
rnacentral:rRNA from 1 species